rnacentral:rRNA from 1 species
UUUGCCGGCGACCGGCGCACGGGUGAGUAACACGUAUCCAACCUGCCCUUUACUCGGGGAUAGCCUUUCGAAAGAAAGAUUAAUACCCGAUGGCAUAAUGAUUCCGCAUGGUUUCAUUAUUAAAGGAUUCCGGUAAAGGAUGGGGAUGCGUUCCAUUAGGUUGUUGGUGAGGUAACGGCCCACCAAGCCUUCGAUGGAUAGGGGUUCUGAGAGGAAGGUCCCCCACAUUGGAACUGAGACACGGCCCAGACUCCUACGGGAGGCAGCAUG